GAUGAACGCUGGCGGCGUGCCUAAUACAUGCAAGUCGAACGAACAGACGAGGAGCUUGCUCCUCUGACGUUAGGGGCGGGCGGGUGAGUAACACGAGGAUAACCUACCUAUCAGACUGGGAUAACUUCGGGAAACCGGAGCUAAUACCGGAGAAUAUAUUGAACCGUAUGGUGCAAUAGUGAAAGACGGUUUUGGCGUAACUUCUAGAUGGAUCCGCGCCGCAUUAGCUAGUUGGUGAGGUAACGGGUUACCAAGGGGACGAUGCGUAGCCGACCUGAGAGGGGGAUCGGCCACCCUGGAACUUGGACAGGGUCCAUACUCCUACGGGAGGCAGCAGUCGGCAACCUGCCGCAAUGGUCGAAAGCCUUGCGGAGCAACGCCGCGUGAGUGACGAAGGUGCUCGGAUCGUAAAACUCUGUUAUUAGUGAAGAACCAAUGUGUAAGUAAACAUGCACUUCUUGACGGUACCUGAUCAGAAAGCAACGGCUAACUACGUG
rnacentral:rRNA from 1 species